rnacentral:rRNA from 1 species
GACGUAGGAGGCGAGCGUUGUCCGGAUUCAUUGGUCGUAAAGAGCGUGUAGGCGGCCAUACAGGUCAGCUGUGAAAACUCGAGGCUCAACCUCGAGACGUCGGUUGAAACCGUAUGGCUAGAGUCCGGAAGAGGAGAGUGGAAUUCCCGGUGUAGCGGUGAAAUGCGCAGAUAUCGGGAAGAACACCCGUGGCGAAGGCGGCUCUCUGGGACGGUACUGACGCUGAGACGCGAAAGCGUGGGGAGCGAACAGG